rnacentral:sRNA from 1 species
AAAAAAUUAAAAAAAAAUGAAAAA